GCGGGAAUGGCGAAAUUGGCAGACGCACCAGACUUAGGAUCUGGCGUUGAAAGACGUGGAGGUUCGAGUCCUCUUUCCCGCACCA
rnacentral:tRNA from 1 species